AAAUGAGGACUUAAGGAUUAAGCUGGAAUGUUCUGAGUGAAGGAAAGAUGAUGACAUGGUUACAGUCACUGAUAAGGACGGAUGUGGAUUAGUGAGGAAUGGAGGCCGAGGUCACAUUAAGGGAGAAGGAGCAGUUUAUUACCCUAUAUAACAGUGGUAUGUGUAAUAUAUAUACAUAUAUACACACAUACACACACACACACACACACACACACACACACACACACACACACACACACACACACACACACAUACAUACAUACAUUUUGGGUUUGUUGUAAAAUAAAAUAUUACAUAAAAAGACCAACCAAGUUCCUAUAAUGUGAUAUUCAUCACAGAAUACAGGUGGUCACCAGGAGGAGAGGAAGUGUCUGUUUUAAUGUGAUAUUCAUCACAGAAUACAGGUGGUCACCAGGAGGAGAGGAAGUGUCUGUUUUAAUGUGAUAUUCAUCACAGAAUACAGGUGGUCACCAGGAGGAGAGGAAGUGUCUGUUUUAAUGUGAUAUUCAUCACAGAAUACAGGUGUAGUCACCAGGAGGAGAGGAAGUGUCUGUUUUAAUGUGAUAUUCAUCACAGAAUACAGGUGUAGUCACCAGGAGGAGAGGAAGUGUCUGUUUUAAUGUGAUAUUCAUCACAGAAUACAGGUGGUCACCAGGAGGAGAGGAAGUGUCUGUUUUAAUGUGAUAUUCAUCACAGAAUACAGGUGGUCACCAGGAGGAGAGGAAGUGUCUGUUUUAAUGUGAUAUUCAUCACAGAAGACAGGUGUAGUCACCAGGAGGAGAGGAAGUGUCUGUUUUAAUGUGAUAUUCAUCACAGAAGACAGGUGGUCACCAGGAGGAGAGGAAGUGUCUGUUUUAAUGUGAUAUUCAUCACAGAAUACAGGUGGUCACCAGGAGGAGAGGAAGUGUCUGUUUUAAUGUGAUAUUCAUCACAGAAUACAGGUGUAGUCACCAGGAGGAGAGGAAGUGUCUGUUUUAAUGUGAUAUUCAUCACAGAAUACAGGUGGUCACCAGGAGGAGAGGAAGUGUCUGUUUUAAUGUGAUAUUCAUCACAGAAUACAGGUGUAGUCACCAGGAGGAGAGGAAGUGUCUGUUUUAAUGUGAUAUUCAUCACAGAAUACAGGUGGUCACCAGGAGGAGAGGAAGUGUCUGUUUUAAUGUGAUAUUCAUCACAGAAUACAGGUGGUCACCAGGAGGAGAGGAAGUGUCUGUUUUAAUGUGAUAUUCAUCACAGAAUACAGGUGGUCACCAGGAGGAGAGGAAGUGUCUGUUUUAAUGUGAUAUUCAUCACAGAAGACAGGUGUAGUCACCAGGAGGAGAGGAAGUGUCUGUUUUAAUGUGAUAUUCAUCACAGAAUACAGGUGGUCACCAGGAGGAGAGGAAGUGUCUGUUUUAAUGUGAUAUUCAUCACAGAAGACAGGUGUAGUCACCAGGAGGAGAGGAAGUGUCUGUUUUAAUGUGAUAUUCAUCACAGAAUACAGGUGGUCACCAGGAGGAGAGGAAGUGUCUGUUUUAAUGUGAUAUUCAUCACAGAAGACAGGUGUAGUCACCAGGAGGAGAGGAAGUGUCUGUUUUAAUGUGAUAUUCAUCACAGAAUACAGGUGGUCACCAGGAGGAGAGGAAGUGUCUGUUUUAAUGUGAUAUUCAUCACAGAAUACAGGUGGUCACCAGGAGGAGAGGAAGUGUCUGUUUUAAUGUGAUAUUCAUCACAGAAUACAGGUGGUCACCAGGAGGAGAGGAAGUGUCUGUUUUAAUGUGAUAUUCAUCACAGAAGACAGGUGGUCACCAGGAGGAGAGGAAGUGUCUGUUUUAAUGUGAUAUUCAUCACAGAAUACAGGUGGUCACCAGGAGGAGAGGAAGUGUCUGUUUUAAUGUGAUAUUCAUCACAGAAGACAGGUGUAGUCACCAGGAGGAGAGGAAGUGUCUGUUUUAAUGUGAUAUUCAUCACAGAAUACAGGUGGUCACCAGGAGGAGAGGAAGUGUCUGUUUUAAUGUGAUAUUCAUCACAGAAUACAGGUGUAGUCACCAGGAGGAGAGGAAGUGUCUGUUUUAAUGUGAUAUUCAUCACAGAAUA